GACUAAUCCAAUAUGGCUGAGAUCCUUAUCAAAAGGAGAAAUUCAGUCACAGGGACAGACAGGUACAGAGAGAAGAUGAUGUCAAGAGACAACGGGAGAAUGCCACAUGAAGGUGGAGGAUUGGAGUAAUGCAUCUACAAGCCAAGAAAACCUUGUUGGGAGUUUGAUUAGACGGCUGAGAAAGACAGCAAAUCUACAGGGUUUGUCAAAGAUAAGAUCGUUGUCAUGGCAUGAAAAGGAUGACCUUUCCAGUCUGCAAUACCUGCUUGACCACUAAGACCAAACAGCUCAAAUUAAAGGUAACAAAUUCCGCAGAGGCAAUUGUUCAACACAGGAAAAAGAAACCACUUUAAGGAUUUUAAACUGGAAGAGAUUUUACAUAAGCUGUUUUAAACAAAACCAUUGGAUGACCUGGAGUAACAGUGUCGGAAACUCAGCUGAGCUGGAUAGAGAACUGAGCUGCCCGUUGUUGGAGAAGUUGAUUAAAGCAGCAGCCGAAGAUCGAAGUAACAGUCAAGACUGUAAUCACUUACUGCAAUAGUAUAAGCAAGAGGCCAAAACCAAAGAAACUGCCAACUCACCCAGGUCUUCUAAAUUCCCCAGAAAGGUGCACUAGUGGAGGGUCAGUGAAUCAGGACAGACAUGGGGGUCAGCUCACGAUUGAGGAAGCCCCAAACAAAAAUCUCCAGUAGUAUUAUGAACCCUGGAGCAGGAGGUUGGAGUGAGACAAGGAGAGCUAGGAGUAGAAGAGUAUGGAGUCGGAGGAGGGAACGGUUUCUUAAGGUCUCCUCCCACUCUACUCUUAAGAAAGCUUCAGUAGAAGCACCUGAAGAAAACUCCAGCAGGAAGCCCUCAGAUAAAGAAACUUCUGAAUGAAGACACCUAGGCUAGGAAUGCAAAUAUGUUUAAGAGCAUGGGCCAUUAGGGGAAUCUGAGUUCCAGAAUGCAAUUCUCUUUAAAGAUUGCAAUGCACUGGGUAUGCCCCAAGUCUGGGGAGGGCAACUUUCCUCGGAGGGGUUUGCCAGAUAAAGCCUUUGUCAUUGCCUGUGGUUGGGCCUGAAAUAUCAAACAUAGAUUUUUGGCCAGGACUCCUCAGCAGGAUCUAGUCAGGGCCUUCACAAAGUACAUUCAGAAUGACAAUUGACCCACCAGAAAGCCAUCAUGCCACCACUUGAUAUUUUAAAUGAAAAGACCCACCAACAUAUCUGAUAUCCAUAUCUGAUACCCAGUAGAAUUGGAAUGCUGCUAUCACCACUGUCACUAUUGUCACUACCACACCUGCCUCUAGAAACCCAGCAAUCUGGAGGAUGGACCCUGGAUAAUGUUGCAGGCAAACCUCAUUUCUCUACAACUGUGCUUUCCACCAACAGUCGAUUAAAGGAAGACGAAGAUCGAGUGUGUGUGGAUGAUACAGCAAAUAAACCUUCUUCUAGUUCUUAAAGAUUAUGGUUUUCAGUGUUUAGUGAGCAUCCGUGUUCAUCUUUAAAGGAUAGAAAAAUGCAGGAGGCAUCUUGUAUCCAUGAAGAUACUAAAACACGGAUUUCCUCAGGAAAUUGAUCACUCAAGCAUCCAUAAUCUUAGUAGACUGCCCUUAUAGUCGUAUUGCAGAAUGUGUGAUCUGCCAUCUACUGAGGGCUCAUUUUUCCCUCUCCUCUCUCAUCCAAGAUUGGUGAUAGUUUCAAAUUUUUCUCCCACUAUUAUGUAGAAUAAUUUCCAAACUUGACACUCAAUUGAAUCAUGGUGUCCAGGAAAAUAGAUAAAAUAAAUAUGACUUCAUAUACCAGAAGUCAUAUUCCUUUGAAUACAAUCAGGGCCAUAAAUGGCACUUGCUUCUAUAACACAAAGUGCUAUUAUAAUUAUAUACAUGAUUUUUUAAAUAAUUAAGUAACUUGGAACCAGUUUCUAUUGCAAUAAUUAUAAGAAACAAAGACCUCCAACUGAAUGAACCCCUCUGAAAUAUUUUAAUAAACUCUGAGGAGUACUAUUUGUCAAGCAAAGAAAUACUGAAUUAAGGUAAAUGCCAGCUUAGGAUGAAAAGAACAGCAACAGUGCCUACCUUCAUUACCUCAGCCUCUCCCUGGCUAAGAUAAUCACUUAAUCUUUUAUGCCUUUGCUAAAACCUCAUUAGUAAAAAGGAGACCUGCCUACUAAGCAUAAGGUUAAGGCUUUAAUGGACUUUAGAAAUCAUUUACUUUUAUGACUCAAAGCACUGAAGUGCAAAUUCUUUUUAUUUGAAUAUUUGAGGGCAUUAAAUGAGCAUUUUUAAUGGAUUUCAAUUGUCAGGAUAAAAUAAAAUUUCUCAAGGGGAAUCUGAAUUUUAACAAACAUUAAAAUCAAAGAAGUAAAAAGAUGAAUAAAUGGAGAAAAA
ensembl:lncRNA novel transcript